CUCUCUCUGAGGAUCCCGGGCCCAAACCAAAGAGCAAGUAUGAUUUUUAGAACUGUGGAACUUCAUCCUUUCAUUUUAGCUUCUCCUGCCUUUGCUUGCCGGAAUCGGGUGUAAGUAUGGUUAAUUCGUCACUUGGUUUACCGGGUUUACGUUAUCCGGUGUUGUAUGCUGGUCUAAGAAUCGACCAAGUAGAUGACUCGAACAGAAACUCACAUAUAGAGCCUUUGCCAUGUGGUGGUUGUGUAUUUGGUGUGCCUUUGAAGUGCCCUGAUAAGGGGGGCAAGUCCCUGCUAAGCACUUGGAGAGUUUGUGUGUGUGGUUUGGCCGUGUGUGCCUGCUUGUGUGGAUGCAGCGUGGGUCUCUGCACGGACCCUGCGUGUAUCCACACUGCAUAUAUGUGUGUGUCCAUACCAGGUUGAGACCUCCUCCUUCUGGUCCCCUAGGACACAUCAGCAGUGGCUAUUAACUCUGUCCAAGAUAUCUCUUCCAACAUCAUCCUGUGGUGCUGGUGCAUGGCACCCAGGAUCCUACAGCUGAGUGGCAUGUAUUUUCUGCUAUCACAGGGGAGUUUAGGAGAGUAAAUUCCUGCUCGAGGUCUGUUUUUCUCUCCUUGCCUCUCAACCCCUGAAAGCAAAGCCCGGACAUCGGAAAGGGAAAGGGGCCAGCUAAGGGCAGCUGGAAAAGAAGGGAACUGCUCAGGGGAGAGUCACUGAAGUUCACCCUCCUCUUCCUGCCACCACCCAAGGCACCCCUAGGUCCAAGUAAAUUAUUCACAGGGGGUUAAUUACUCAUGUUAUUAUUAAUAAUAGUCAAUACAUAAAUAAUAGCAAUCGUUGGGCAGGAGUGAGCCAGGGAGUGGGCUUGUUAAUGAAAGGGGGCACUGGCUAUUUCAGAUGCCAUGAAGACUCCUCCAUUCUGUGCAGUGCCAGUUCCCUCCAGGACUGCUCCCCUGCCCUGUGCACCACGGCCCCUCCUGGUGUCUCUUCAUCCGUGGACUCAAAGCUGUGGAGAGCUGCUCCUUCCUUAGAGAUCCCCACCCUCCCCCUUCUCCCACCUGAUGAUGGCUUAUUUUGGAUUUGGGUUAUCUCACCUUAGCAGGUGGCACAACCCUUACCUCUCAUCUUUCUGACAGAUAUAUGGCGAAAUGUCCUCCCCUGAGCCACUUGUCACUGGUCACCCUCUUCUCUCUGACACCCACUGAACUAGCAGCCCUGGCCAUGGCCGCACAACCUCAGGCCUGCUUUGGCUCUCCUGCCUGUAAAUCUUCUCUUUCCCCCUCAAUUGUGAACUCAUGGAGGGCAAGGACCCAGUAAUCUGGUCUCUCCUCCUCCUCUGCAACCCCUUCUGGUAGCACAGUAGGUGCUUAAGAUAUAGUUUGUAGAUACCGGUGGCUAAUCUGACUUGGGGAGUGGUGUCAACACUAUAUUCAUAUGGGCUCUAAGGAAGGGGAGCUGCAGGGCCCCAGGCGGACACUUUUGAACAGGUAAUUUAGAAGACCCGCAGCAGUUCAGCAUCCUGGGUCUGCACUGCUUUACUUGGAAGCAUCACCACUCAGUCAUUCUUGCA
rnacentral:lncRNA from 10 species